rfam:Ciona savignyi cont_33091, whole genome shotgun sequence.
GGCGCCAUGGCUUAAUGGUAAAGCGCCUGUCUAGUAAACAGGAGAUCUUGGGUUCGAUCCCCAGUGGUGCCU